rnacentral:tRNA from 1 species
AUUUAAGUGGUGUAAUUAAACACAUAACAUUUUCGUUGUUAAGUUCUCUUCUAAGUUUAAAUU